GAGUUUGAUCGUGGCUCAGAUUGAACGCUGGCGGCAUGCCUUACACAUGCAAGUCGAACGGUAACAGGUCUUCGGAUGCUGACGAGUGGCGAACGGGUGAGUAAUACAUCGGAACGUGCCCGAUCGUGGGGGGAUAACGAAGCGAAAGCUUUGCUAAUACCGCAUAAGAUCUACGGAUGAAAGCAGGGGACCGCAAGGCCUUGCGCGAACGGAGCGGCCGAUGGCAGAUUAGGUAGUUGGUGGGAUAAAAGCUUACCAAGCCGACGAUCUGUAGCUGGUCUGAGAGGACGACCAGCCACACUGGGACUGAGACACGGCCCAGACUCCUACGGGAGGCAGCAGUGGGGAAUUUUGGACAAUGGGCGAAAGCCUGAUCCAGCCAUGCCGCGUGCAGGAUGAAGGCCUU
rnacentral:rRNA from 1 species